rfam:Triticum aestivum genome assembly, contig: Triticum_aestivum_CS42_TGACv1_scaffold_330880_4BS
UAAGUACUCCCUCCGUCCGAAAAUACUUGUCAUCAGAAUGGAUAAAAAGGGAUGUAUCUAGGAGUAAUAUACGUCUAGAUACAUCCUCUUUUAUUCAUUUUGAUGACUAGUAUUUUUGGACGGAGGGAGUAGUUG